GACGAACGCUGGCGGCGUGCCUAAUACAUGCAAGUAGAACGCUGAAGGAGGAGCUUGCUUCUCUGGAUGAGUUGCGAACGGGUGAGUAACGCGUAGGUAACCUGCCUGGUAGCGGGGGAUAACUAUUGGAAACGAUAGCUAAUACCGCAUAAGAGUAGAUGUUGCAUGACAUUUGCUUAAAAGGUGCAAUUGCAUCACUACCAGAUGGACCUGCGUUGUAUUAGCUAGUUGGUGGGGUAACGGCUUACCAAGGCGACGAUACAUAGCCGACCUGAGAGGGUGAGCGGCCACGCUGGGACUGAGACACGGCCCAGACUCCUACGGGAGGCAGCAGUAGGGAAUCUUCGGCAAUAGACGGAAGUCUGACCGAGCAACGCCGCGUGAGUGAAGAAGGUUUUCGGAUCGUAAAGCUCUGUUGUAAGAGAAGAACGAGUGUGAGAGUGGAAAGUUCACACUGUGACGGUAUCUUACCAGAAAGGGACGGCUAACUACGUG
rnacentral:rRNA from 1 species